rnacentral:lncRNA from 1 species
UUGACUCCACCUUCAAGUCCAUGCUUAAUUUCCCACCCAUCCUAUUUUAAAGACACCACCUCCCAGCACUGCCACUCCCCUGCUCACUUCCACCCUUGGUCUCCAUCUAUGAACUGCCACACUCUGUAGCUUGUAUUUGGUGUUUCCCCCACUAAAUACCUGCUCUGGGGGACAGGGGUUUGGGUAUGGCUGGCAUGUGGUAGAUACCCAAUAAAUACCUGCUGGUGAGACAAUUAAGGAUACUCCUAAAUUUGGGGUCUGAGCCACCAGAAAAUCACCAAACCGUGUUGAACAGGGCAUUUCACAGGACCGGUGUUCCAUAGAACACAUGUCAGUUAUCUCCUAAAACUUGAGACCCCUGGCCAUAUCCACAGAGCAGAUACGGAUGAGAACUUUGGAACCCCCAGCCCCUCCGCUCACCAGCCAGGUGACAUCUCCUGGGCCAUCACAACUGCUCUGAGACCUGGUUUUCCCACUUAGCAAAGAGCACACAACCCCUGCCUCAGCUGCCAUUCAUGCUGGUUCUAGGGACCAGUGUGAUCACGGACACCUAUACUGUGGCAGGUUCCCAGACUCCUGCUGCUCACCCCCCAAGCUGCCCCAAGGUCACCAAGGCUGCUUGAAAACUAUACAAAUGUGUUACUCAAGAAGGUGGAGGACUGGCGUUUCUGAGCACCUUCCACAGUCCCGGUACCAUUGCUAAACACUAGUCCAGGCACCACAAUCCUUGGAAAUGUUUUUGGGGGGAAAACAGCAGAUUUCUACAAAGGAAGGGUGAAGUCAGGCUUCAGCCCAGCUGCUCCGGACUGCUAAGAACCUGCCCAGACCCCCUGGACUGAAGGAAGUUACUGAAGGGAAGUUACGCAUAGCUGUGCCUAUUGUUAGGUCACAUUAAGAAAGGAAUGAGGAAUGUGACCAGCUUUCCUCCCCACCAGGGAGAAGCCUCUGGGGACGGGUCAGUAAACACUGGGCAUACAGGUUGCCCUCUUGUAAAUCCAGCUUCAGCCCUAUCCUGUCUGCCACAGGCAGGCUGGCGGGGCUGCUUGGGCUUUGCAAGCCCUGGAGAGUCAUUUGGGAUCUCUUUUCUCAGAAACCUUACAUCUGUGGCCAGCACUUGACAACUGAUCAAAGUGAUCUUAAACGUAGGGGCAGGAACAUAAUUACUGGGAGGCUUUUUCACGCCACCCACACACCCAACCAUUGUGGGGAGCCACAACGUCACCAAUCGGCAUGUUAGACCCUCAGUUUGGGGAAUGUUUUUUAAAAAAAAGGGCCAGAUGCGGUGGCUCACACCUGUAAUCCCAGCAC